AAGUCGUAACAAGGUCUCCGUUGGUGAACCAGCGGAGGGAUCAUUACUGCUUGCUUACGGUUUCGUUCGGGCAACCGAGCGGGGCCGGGCACGCUACCCUUGCUUAUGUAUACCUAUUGUUAUUCCCUCGGCGGGGAGACCCGCCGCCGGGAUCAAUUAAACCCUUUUGUAUAAAGCAUCAAAACUUCUGAAAACAAAUUAAUAAUUACAACUUUUAACAAUGGAUCUCUUGGUUCUG
rnacentral:misc_RNA from 1 species